rnacentral:rRNA from 1 species
GACGAACGCUGGCGGCGUGCCUAAUACAUGCAAGUCGAACGAGAGCGACCGGUGUUUGCACUGGUCAAUCUAGUGGCGAACGGGUGAGUAACACGUGGGUAACCUGUCCAUCAGAGGGGGAUAACAUCCGGAAACGGACGCUAAAACCGCAUAGGUCUUCGAACCGCAUGGUUUGAAGAGGAAAAGAGGCGCAAGCUUCUGCUGAUGGAUGGACCCGCGGUGCAUUAGCUAGUUGGUGAGGUAACGGCCCACCAAGGCCGUGAUGCAUAGCCGACCUGGGGGGGGAAUGGGCCACAUGGGGACUGGACAACGGCCCAAACUCCUACGGGAGGAAGCGGUAGGGAAUCUUCCGCAAUGGACGCAAGUCUGACGGGGCAACGCCGCGGGAGUGAAGAGGGUUUUCGGAUCGUAAGACUCUGUUGUUAGGGAGGAACAAGUGCUAGAGUAACUGUUAGCGCCUUGACGGUAUCUAACCAGAAAGCCACGGCUAACUACGUG